GCUUACGGCCAUACCACCCUGUUCACGCCUGAUCUCGUCUUGAUCUCAGAAGCUAAGCAGAGUUGGGCCUAGUUAGUACUUGGAUGGGAGACUGCCUAGGAAUACCAGGUGCUGUAAGUU